rnacentral:rRNA from 1 species
UACGAUGGGGGCUAGCGUUGUUCGGAAUUACUGGGCGUAAAGCGCGCGUAGGCGGUGAUCUUUGUCAGAGGUGAAAGCCUGGAGCUCAACUCCAGAAUUGCCUUUGAAACGGGAUCGCUAGAGUCCGAGAGAGGAUGGCGGAAUUCCUAGUGUAGAGGUGAAAUUCGUAGAUAUUAGGAAGAACACCGGUGGCGAAGGCGGCCAUCUGGCUCGGUACUGACGCUCAGGCGCGAAAGCGUAGGGAGCAAACAGG